rnacentral:rRNA from 1 species
UAGUUAUUAUAGCGAAGAGGAUACACCUGUUCCCAUUCCGAACACAGAAGUUAAGCUCUUUAGCGCCGAUGGUACUUGGUGGGAAGCUGCCUGGGAGAGUA